GUGUGGGAAGAUGGUCUAGGUCGCAUUCUUUCAGCUCAGAUGGUGGUGGUUGCAGCUUGUGGUUUGCCCCUUCCCUGUGGGACAAAUGGGGUUAUCUUGGCCAGGUCCCAGCGGUGUGCUACCCCAGGGUUCCCCGGGGCUUCCCUCUCAUGCAGCUCCUCCGGUGGCAGUCCCAGUGCAGGCAGGAGUGCCUUUGCGCUCUGGAGGUCUGAGACGAGGUGGACGAUGUUCUUAUGUAGUACCUGUAGUGCGUGCUGUGGACGCCAGCGGUAUGUAAUUUGGUGCGUCCGGAGCAGCGCGGUGAAGGGUUGGAGGGUUUUACGCCAUUGUAAUGUUGCUCCCGAC